UCUGACCUCGAAUCAGG
rnacentral:rRNA from 1 species